GCCAGCGUGGCAUAGUGGUUUGAGUAUUGGACUAGUAGGACUCUAGGAGACCAGGGUUCGAAUCCCUGCUCAGCA